GCUGGGUUGAGAAUGGGGGAAGGAUUUGCUCUGGAGACGAGGAUUUGAAGGCUGUGGAGACUGAGUUCUUAGACGUUUCUGAUCUCAGGCCUGAGUACAACGUCUACAAAGCUGUGUACACUCUGGCAUACGCACUUGAUGAGCUGCUGAGGUGUGAACCAGGAAAAGGGCCUUUUAGUGAGGAAAGCUGUGCAACUUUGCAAACACUUCAACCAUGGCAGCUGGUGUAUUAUCUAGAGAGGGUUAAUUUCACCACAUCAUUYGGUGACCAAGUGUCAUUUGAUGAGAAUGGUGAUGCCUUACCAAUAUAUGACGUCAUGAACUGGCUCUGGCUCCCUAAUGGACAAACGAAAGUUCAACAUGUAGGCGACGUAAAAAUGUCGCCUUUUAAUGGYGAACAACUCACACUUGAUGGAGACAAAAUCUUCUGGAACUUUGAAUCGAAAAAGCCACCGCGGUCAGUGUGCAG